rnacentral:rRNA from 1 species
GUGGGGAAUCUUAGACAAUGGGGGAAACCCUGAUCUAACCAUGCCGCGUGAGCGAUGAAGGCCUUAGGGUUGUAAAGCUCUUUCAGCUGGGAAGAUAAUGACGGUACCAGCAGAAGAAGCCCCGGCUAACUCCGUGCCAGCAGCCGCGGUAAUACGGAGGGGGCUAGCGGUGUUCGGAAUUACUGGGCGUAAAGCGCGCGUAGGCGGACCAGAAAGUUGGAGGUGAAAUCCCAGGGCUCAACCUUGGAACUGCCUUCAAAACUCCUGGUCUGGAGUUCGAGAGAGGUGAGUGGAAUUCCGAGUGUAGAGGUGAAAUUCGUAGAUAUUCGGAGGAACACCAGUGGCGAAGGCGGCUCACUGGCUCGAUACUGACGCUGAGGUGCGAAAGCGUGGGGAGCAAACAGGAUUAGAAACCCUGGUAGUCC